rnacentral:rRNA from 1 species
AGAAUUUUUCUCAAUGGGGGAAACCCUGAAGGAGCGACGCCGCGUGGGGGAUGAAUGGCUUCGGCCCGUAAACCCCUGUCAUUCGGGAUCAAUGCUCAUUACUCAAUACGUAAUGAGUUGAUAGUACCGAAAGAGGAAGGGACGGCUAACUCUGUGCCAGCAGCCCCGGUAAUACAGAGGUCCCAAGCGUUGUUAGGAUUCACUGGGCGUAAAGGGUGCGUAGGCGUUCGGGUAAGUCUGAUGUGAAAGCUCGGAGCUCAACUCCGAAAUGGCAUCGGAUACUACUCGGCUCGAGGAAUGGAGGGGAGACUGGAAUUCUCGGUGUAGCAGUGAAAUGCGUAGAUAUCGAGAGGAACACCAGUGGCGAAGGCGAGUCUCUGGACAUUUCCUGACGCUGAGGCACGAAAGCCAGGGGAGCAAAC